rnacentral:rRNA from 1 species
GACUCCGGUUGAUCCUACCGGACCCGACUGCUAUCGGAAUGGGACUAAGCCAUGCGAGUUGUAUGUUCCUAGACUGCUAGGAGCAUAGCGAACGGCUCAGUAACACGUGGCCAACCUGCCCUCAAGUCGUGGAUAACCCCGGGAAACUGGGACUAAUCCACAAUAGGCCCAAACCUCUGGAAUGAGUUUGGGUUAAAAGGAAGGUAUGAGCAUGUUUCAUACCUUUGCUUGAGGAUGGGGCUACGGCCGAUCAGGCUGUUGGUGGGGUAACGGCCCACCAAACCUUUGACCGGUACGGGCUUUGAGAGAAGGAGCCCGGAGAUGGACACUGAGACAAG